GUCUGUCAGGAUUACUGGGGCAGGUAAUCAGUCAGUGAGGACAGAAUCUGCCUUCUCAGGACUGGAGGAAGUUUGUCCUGGACGGUGACCCGUAGUUUCCAGCUACAGAGGAACUAGGAGCUGAAUCGGGAUGAUCAAGAGGAGACAUCAGAUGAGGAGGGUGGUGGCUGUAGCAGCAAUAAAGAGCACAGGAAACGGAAGGCCCAAACCUCCAAGAGGAGUGACAGGGGCAGAUCUCCUGCUCAGGUUCCUACAAUAUAGGAUCCGCUCAGUGGAUAUCCUCUGCUAAUUGGCCCGUGAAGGAUGAAUAAGGACAGUGACAAGAUGGCAGAGAGUAUAAUAAAUCUCACCCUGGAGAUCCUCUUACCGGCUUACUGGAGAGGACUACACAGUAGUGAAGAAGACCUCUAGUGAACGCUGUCAGGCCCCCGUGU